CCUUCCCUAGUUCCCUCAGCAUUCUUCUUGUAUCUUCACUCAAGUCUCACGCCGACACGCCCUGGCCCUGCCUAAGUUGCCUUCUUCUUCAAUCUUCACACCCAGGUCCCAGUACACCGUGCCUUCUACCUUCUUCUUCAUGCCGUCACUACUCGCCUUCUUCUUCAAUCUUCACGCCAUCGCCAAUCCACUGCACACCCACGACUCCACUACACACAGCACAUACAUUUCUCUACAGAUUUGGUGAUUUAUGAAGCAGACGAAGCAAAAGAAAGAGACGGUUAGCCGUCCAAUCUUAGAUCCGACUUCGAUAAUGUAAUCCUCGAAGCCCGAUCUACGUAUUGACCGAACAUUUUGAGGUUUGGUGUGGUUUGGAGUUGCUAAGAGCUUCCCGAGCAUUUGGUCUUUGCUUUACGAAUUUUUGCAGCACUUUAUGCUUGAGCUUAGUGUCGUUUUGAUAUUGGGAGUACAAGCGAUCUAAGGUACUCCUGAGGCGGAUGAUGAUCCAGUAGCAUACUAUUUGGGUUACUACGAUUGAAGCUCGUAGCGACAAUCGUAGUGGGUUAGGACUAUGGUGUCCUUAUUUUGAGUACUUUUGUAUAUGGCUUGUGAUGAAUGUGCCACGUAUUAUUUUGUAUGGACCAUUCUUUUGUAAUAGUUUAUGUAUUUAGACCUUAAAUAGAUAAACUUGUGUUAUGACUCAGUUUUGUAUAGAUAACAGGUUUAUUUAUAGUUAUGCUUUUCCACUA